UACGUAGGGUGCAAGCGUUAAUCGGAAUGACUGGGCGUAAAGGGCGCGUAGGCGGUUCGUACAGUCAGACGUGAAAUUCCCGGGCUCAACCUGGGGGCUGCGUUUGAUACGUACGGGCUUGAGUUCGGAAGAGGGUCGUGGAAUUCCCAGUGUAGAGGUGAAAUUCGUAGAUAUUGGGAAGAACACCGGUGGCGAAGGCGGCGACCUGGUCCGAUACUGACGCUAAGGCGCGAAAGCGUGGGGAGCAAACAGG
rnacentral:rRNA from 1 species